AACGAACGCUGGCGGCAUGCCUAACACAUGCAAGUCGAACGAGACCUUCGGGUCUAGUGGCGCACGGGUGCGUAACGCGUCGGAACCUGCCCUUAGGUUCGGAAUAACUCCCCGACAGGGGUGCUAAUACCGGAUAAUGUCUUCGGACCAAAGAUUUAUCGCCCUUGGAUGGGCCCGCGUUGGAUUAGCUAGUUGGUAGGGUAAAAGCCUACCAAGGCGACGAUCCAUAGCUGGUCUGAGAGGAUGAUCAGCCACACUGGGACUGAGACACGGCCCAGACUCCUACGGGAGGCAGAAGUGGGGAAUAUUGGACAAUGGGCGAAAGCCUGAUCCAGCAAUGCCGCGUGAGUGAUGAAGGCCUUAGGGUUGUAAAGCUCUUUUACCAGGGAUGAUAAUGACAGUACCGGGAGAAUAAGCACCGGCUAACUCCGUG
rnacentral:rRNA from 1 species